GGUUGAGGGCAAUCUGGCUGUGACAUCUGUCACCCCUUUGAUUUCCAGAGCUGAUUCAGCUGAUCUGGCUGACUAGGGGGUAUCCCCUUUCUCCCUCACUGCUCCAUGUGCAUCCCUCCUGAAGCUGCGUGCUGCGACGACCAUCCUUGAUAGAGGAGGACUGCUCUUCGGUCAAGGGUAUAAGUAGCUGCGCUACCGUGCUAGAAACGCCAAACAAGUUCCCAUAGCACUGGGUCAGCCAAAGAAAAUUAAUAAACCACACCUUAUUCUUU
ensembl:misc_RNA 7SK 7SK RNA